GUGGGGAAUCUUCCGCAAUGGACGAAAGUCUGACGGAGCAACGCCGCGUGAGUGAAGAAGGUUUUCGGAUCGUAAAGCUCUUUCGUUAGGGACGAACAUGCUCUUUGUGAAUAAUGAGGAGUAAUGACGGUACCUAAAUAAGAAGCCACGGCUAACUACGUGCCAGCAGCCGCGGUAAUACGUAGGUGGCAAGCGUUGUCCGGAAUUAUUGGGCGUAAAGCGCGCGCAGGCGGGAUAUCAAGUCUGUCUUAAAAGUGCGAGGCUCAACCUCGUGAGGGGACAGAAACUGGUAUUCUUGAGUGUCGGAGAGGAAAGUGGAAUUCCAAGUGUAGCGGUGAAAUGCGUAGAGAUUUGGAAGAACACCAGUGGCGAAGGCGACUUUCUGGACGAUGUCUGACGCUGAGGCGCGAAAGCUAGGGGAGCGAACGGGAUUAGAUACCCCUGUAGUCC
rnacentral:rRNA from 1 species